GAUCACAGUGAUGGCUGACCAGGGCUCCCUGACCUAUACAGGCCUCUGUUGUGGGGGUGAUGGGCCCGUCCUGGUGUCUGAGUGAUU